UGAGGAAUAUUGGUCAAUGGCCGUAAGGCUGAACCAGCCAUGCCGCGUGAAGGAUGACUGCCCUAUGGGUUGUAAACUUCUUUUCUACGGGGGUAAAUUCCGGAACGAGUUCCGGAUUGAAAGUACUGUAGGAAUAAGCAUCGGCUAACUCCGUGCCAGCAGCCGCGGUAAUACGGAGGAUGCGAGCGUUAUCCGGAUUUACUAGGUUUAAAGGGUGCGUAGGUGGCUUUAUAAGUCAGUGGUGAAAUCUCACGGCUCAACUGUGAAAUUGCCAUUGAUACUGUGGAGCUUGAGUAGAGUUGAGGCAGGCGGAAUGUGUAAUGUAGCGGUGAAAUGCAUAGAUAUUACACAGAACACCGAUUGCGAAGGCAGCUUGCUAAACUUUUACUGACACUGAUGCACGAAAGCGUGGGGAUCAAACA
rnacentral:rRNA from 1 species